AGCAUGGUAACCAUCUAAUUCUAACUAAUAUAAAUUAUAUCUCUGACUCUGUCAACCAUGAAAGACUGAGGAAACAUAACUGAGAUAUGCAAGUGCCUUGAGAAUCUAAACAGCUUGCCUUCCAUAAGGAUGAGUGGCAAUGGAAGCUUCCUGAUUGCUUGCAACCACACAGAUUGUCUGAAUCUUUCUGUAGUAAUCAAGGCUCAAAGCUUGGAAUUAAUCUGUGUUCAAUCCCAGAUCUACCUGUACCCAGGAACAGAUGAACAAACAUUUCUGGAAGCUUUUCCCUCAUUUUGAAGAGAAGAGCAGGUGUGGAGGUGUGCGCAUAAACAUUUGCCUCGGAGAAAGAAGUGUUUCCACCAGGAUGCUCUCAAGGAGGAUUAAAUAGUGGAAUGAACCCUCCAGCUUGGUGGAUGUGCUGGAGUGAAUCAGAAAGGGCAAGUUUCCUGAAGGCAUGGGUCACCAGCGUGGAAAGCUGUGCCACUGCAUGCGUGCCCCUCUCUGUCGGUCGGCACGAGGUCCCUGCAGGUGACUGCUCUCUGUGCACCUGGGAACAGCAGCUGCAAACCCGUGCGGGUGCCUGCCAUCACACAACAUCCCUCCCAUGUGAAGUAAUGCCCUCCUCAUCCCGCAAAGGUAAGCUGAGGCAAAGAUGAACGACGGGCUUGCGUGUAUGAGAACGAUUACAGAUUUAGUUUCAUUUUUAGAUGGCAUUUUAUGUGAAACCUCCGCUGUGUAGAGGUAGUUGCAAAUAACCUGUGUUUGGGUAAGGAACAAAAAUUAUUAUAUAUAUUAAAAUUCACAUUCCUAAUGAAUGUAAUUAAACCGAAGUGUUUUUUUUUGUUUGUUUGUUUUUGUUUGUUUGUUUGUUUGUUUUUCCUAACGUGUCUCAAUCUGACGUGACUGCUCAGAGGCAGCAAAGAGAACAGAUACCCAAAUGACAUUCCAGAACCUCUUUUCCAGCUACAGGAGUACACCCCCUCCAUUUUCCUCUGCAUCAGAAAUGCCCCAAAAUGAAGGGAGACGUCCAGACGUCACACAGUACAGCAGAGCUCCAUUAAAGCCAAUGCACUUCUUCCUAUUUACAGUAGCCAAAGGGUUCAUCCCUAAUUUCUUUCUGCAGAAUAAUGUGCAAAGCAGAUUUCAGAUGUUUAUUACAAAGCCACGGGUAGGUUGCAGGUUAAUGUACUGCCUAGAGAUGCUCCCAAAGCGUGAAAGAAUGACCAGGAGAGAAAAGGUCAUCUCGCAGGUAUUGCCUAAUUUGCUAUUUCCUCUCUAAAUUGACUUCUGCACUUUUUUUUGCAGCGAACAUAGGUACCUCAUGGCACGAUUGUAUUAUUCCUAAAAUGGGUUGCUAAUGCUUGAGAAAUACUGUUAACAAAAAGAGUAGUCAGGUAAAAUGCUUGUAAUUAUCACUAAAAUUAGUACCCUUUAAAGAGUGUGUUUACAUGACCCAUCAACAGAUCGGUUAAGUACUUUCAGUACAUUUUAUUUGUAUCUGGCAGAACAAUUUCCUUGCUCAAGUACACCAAUGAGUGGGAGAGACUACAGUUAUAACAAAGUAAAUUAGAAAGAAAGUGUUUGGGGAGUUUGGAUUUUUUUUCCCCCUGUACUUUGUGUAAGGUUUGAAAAGGAAAGCAAGUUUCAAUCCCAAAUUCCAAAAGGCCUCACUUGCUCUACACUAAGUGCCCUUGUCUGCUAAACCACGAGCCUCUACAGGUCUGAAAGAGCGGGAGCUUAAACCAGACAAGCAGUGUAAAGUCCAGUGCGUUCCACAUUUUCACUACAGACUUUCCUGCAGUUUCUGAAGGUUUUGGAGUAAAGUGCUGGCUUUAUUACAAUUCACAGUAAAAUGACCAUAGGCUUCAUAACAGCGCACAUUUAAUCUCAAAAUUUAUUUUUUAAAAAUAAAAAAAUAGCACAUAGGGAAUAUAUGAGAUUUAAUUCUACCAAAAAAGCAAUUAAAUGAAGAAAAUAGUUUAAUAAAUGAAUUUACCAAAGUAAAACUAGACAUGCAUGAGCGUACAUGAAAAGAGUUGUGUUUUUUUUUUUUUUUUCCUUUUUUUCCCUAAAAUGUCUGCACACAAAGUUACCAUUAAAGUAAAAUGUGACAUGGGCAAAUCUUGUCAAUGAGGUGUUUGAAAGUAUUUCCAUUUGUAUUUACAUUUUUGUUUACAUUUACGAUUUAGGGUUUAGUUUUUUUCCCGUCAGCUCGGUCAAGCCAAAAACUCUCAUUUCCUCUGUAAGAAGGACGUAUAGUUGCUGAAUAAUUUAUCCUGUAGUCAUAAGAUGAUUCACUGGAGCUGGUGCUUCGCACCCCCCGAAUCUGAAUGCUUUCUGUAUUAAUAAUGCAUUCACCCUCCCCAUCCCCAGCACAGGCCGGAGCAAAGCCCUGCCCCGGGGCUGGAGUGAGCCCCAGCAGCAGCAGCCAGAGGGGUACGAGGGUUUUGGGCAGGGGCUGGGGCAGAUGACCCCCUGACCCCCUUUCAUCCCAACUUUUGGGCGACCCUGUCGCUCUGCAUUCACACGCCAGCUCUGCCGGAGCAAGGGAGGUGGGGCAAGAGCAGUGCCUCUGCCAAAACCAGGAUAUCCUCAGAGGCCUCAUUUCUGAGAUUCUUACGUGAUGGCAAAGUAUUUGUUUUACCUCGCCCUAAGAGUCUGCUAAAAGGCAAAACCAUCCUAGGGAAAGGCGGGAGUUCAACGCUUCCAACAACAAUAAGAAAAGGAGAAUGUUUGUUUAGAAAUUUGAGCAUGAUUUUAAUGGCCUAGUAUUAAUCAGGCAGGUUUGAAAAUGCUGGUCGAAUUAUAAAUAGAGCUGAGAAGCAGCGCGUACAAAAAUACAGUUGUAUUUGUAUUAUAAAUUUUAUAUAAAUAGAAAAAAAAGAAAGACCCUGAAAUGUCUCAGGCUUGAAUUCCAGCCGCUCUGUUAACGUGAAGCCUGUUCUUUCGCCUGUUAUUUUUCAUUCCUGCGUCUGUGAAACUUGGGCUGGGAAUGGCCACCUCUCUCACGCUGCUGACUCCUCGCUGCCCAGCCUUUGCCGGCCCGUAGCUGCUCGUGUGCUCUGUGCAAGAGAGAUCGGGACCAGGCUCAGCAGUCCUAACUGCAGCCUGCCCCUUCCCAUGCUAAAGUCUAGCGCAGGAUCAUGAACAGGUGGGUUCCUGCUGAGGUGUUUGGGUUCGGCAUGGCUGCAGCUGCCUGUCCAAAUAUAGUGUCUGGUUAAACUUUCGAGGCGUCCCUUCCUAGCCUGUGCUUGCAGGUGUGCAGCAGCUCAGAUCCGCCGCUAGUCCGGCACGGUGUGAGCUCUGUUGUUUACUUGUCACUUCCUAGCCAUCUUCCAGCUUGUCUUUUUCCUCUUUCCCACCCCCUUGCUGCUAAUAUUCUAUUUUCUGCUCCUGUGUUCUUCCUACGGUGCCUUGACGUUUGCAUACUUAUUCCCUAAACAGCAUGUCCCCAUUAAAAAUAAAGGACCGCAUCGCAUUGAUCGUGAUGCUGAAAUCGCUUAGAGCUGGAUUGUUCUGCAGCUGCUAGAGGCAGCAGCACUGCCACAGAUGGGAUGCCUGGUGCUGGGCUCUCAGGGACGUGGCUGGUGCUGGUCUUCUCCUCGCUUCUGGGUGAAGUGCCUGGCCACCAGCAGACAUCGUUGCUCUGACUUUGAUAAAGGCCCGUCUGGAUCUGCAUAAGCUUUGGCAAAAAAAAUGUAGUUCAGCUCACAGAAAUUGUUUCUUACUUCUGGGAAGUUUCUUACUCCAACAGGUAGUGAAGCAAAUAUUGUCCUGGAUUGGAAAUUAAAUUUUCAGCCUUCUGUAAGAAUAUUCCAACUGGCGUGUUCUGACUAGGGAAAGAGGAAAACCUUCUAUACAGUGGGUCAUAAUAACAUAUAGCAUCUUUCCCCUGUGCUUUGCCUCCUUCCAGCCAUUUCAAAGAACAAGGCUGUAGAUUCAAUCGCAAUCGCUCCUUGCCCUCCCUAUCACUAUCCUAACCCUUUCCUGACUUACUUUUCUCACGGCGGGGGCAUCAGCUCCAGCUUUCCUACACACACAAACAGAUGGAUUCAAGAUGUGGGCUGGCCUUGCAGAAGGAGAUUUUGCAUUUUUUACUUUCCCUGAACCUGAAUAAGCAAUUGUCACAAUCCAAGCUAUUGUGCUAAAUUAAAAAAAAAAAAUGAGGGUUAUAAAAUGGGAGAAUGUGUACGGGUGGCAAAACUGGGUGCUAUGUAAAUGUUGUGCAGAGCAAGAAUAUGCUUAUUAAAUAGGCAACAGAGAAUUAGAGGAAACUAUUUCAGUUUACAUUCAAGUAUAUUAUGGGACUGUUUAUAGGGCCCAAAAGAACUUCCCAAGCAUUAACACAUGUAGCCUGAGAAGCAGAGGUGGUAGAAUCUAUAUAAAGGUGAAUAGACAUGUAAAACCAGAAUAACUUGUUAGCAUUUAUGUUGUUGCUGCCUUGAGGCCAUGGCAGCUAUUUCACCCACCUUUCAGAAACUCAUUCAGCAUUUUUUUCUAUGGGGAGGAUUAAAAGACAGCAUUUUUUUUAAGGUCAGGGAAAAAUGUCACUGAUAAAUCAAGCUAAUCUUAUCCUAUUCUUUCAGAAUAACGAAGGACACAUGUGAGAACCCUAUAGAAAAUGGUACUGUUACUAAUAAUGGAUUAUGAAAGAAGGAGGGGAAGGUUAAGUUUAUGUUCUUUUGCCUUCUCAUUAAUUAUAAAGAUCAGAUGAUGUAUAUAUCUCUGAAAAGUAAGAGAGAGAAGUUUCCCGUUUGUGUUGUGGUAGAAAUUUAUCUCAUAUCACCCUUUUCUGGGUAAUUCCUCACAGUCUCCAGGCUUCUAGACAAAGGAGAUCAGGCGAGAAUAAUGACAUCAGAAAAACCUAUGCAAAUAAAUCCUGAGUAAUGAGAGGAAGGUGAGUUUUAUUCACACUGUUUGGUUUUGAUUUUAGCUCAAGUACUGAAAAACACUCAGGAGAAAAUUUCUCUCUCUCUCUUUCUUCAGGGCAGAAAAGUUCAAAGCGAGCAUGUGAGGUCUCCAAUGACUCCUCAAGCAAAGUUAUGAGAGAAUUAGCCUUCCCGGUAGCUUAAAGGUUAAAAAAACAAGAAGAAAAUCCCUUCCUCUGACACAUUUUAUCAUGCAUUUAACCUUCUUUAUAAAUUACUGAGAAAUGUGCCAAUUAAUAGUUUAUCUUUUAAAACAUUCUAAUCUACAUUUCUGAACAAAUAGAGAAACGGAUGGGCAUUCAGCCAUCUUUUUAUUACUUUUUUUCCCACAUUAGGGAGUGAUAUACAUUUCCAUGAGCCAUAACAAAUGGUCCCAUUUGCUAUGGGAUUUGCUCUCAGCUGGGACAGAGACUGGCGUUUCUUCACGACCAAAAAGAUGUGUUUUUAAAGCAGGGGAAAAAAUAUGAAUUACUAUCCAGCUCUAAAGUCCCUGUAGUGUCAAAUACAGUUUUUACUACACUGUACCUCAGUGAGGCCAGCAAUGAACUUUACAAUGAGGGGUAGCCUUGCUUAAGCACUUUAGGUAAAGCCAAGAGAGAUUUCUUUCCUGGAGGGUUUUAAUGAAAGAAAAAACAACAAGCAAACAAACAAACCGAACAAACAAAAAAACCCCUCCCCCACAUAUCUCUGUUGACUCAUCCUGUACACUGCUGCAUCUUGGCUCUCAUGAUGUCCCCAUUGAAUGAAUUCUGUCAUUUUAAAGUGAGGCCAGCUUUUCAACAAGUGUACAUUGCUAUGAAUCCCCUGCAGUCCGUGGAGUUAUGGCACUUAGAGUAGUUGAAACUUUGACCUUUUAAACUUUUGCUUUUUUUUCUGUCUAUAUCAUUGCUUUCCCCUUUUUAACUGUCUAUGGAAACACAAUAAAAUUAUUUUUAUAGCAUUUAAUUAAUGUUUAAAGUGACAUCCCACCGAAAAAGCCUGCACAUUCAGGAUUUAUUCACCAUUUAGGGUUUAUUUUAUCAUUAUGCCUUAAUGGCUACUAGAACUUAGUCUAUACCUUGAAAGGACACACCUAUGAAAUUAAAAUGGCAAACCCUGUAGCUGGAGGUGUUCCUUGUGCCAUAGAAAGGGUUCUGUUUUAAUACAUUUAAAUAAGCUCUCCAAACCAAGAUGUGUAGGUAAAAGGCAUGCAUUUUGCUAGAAUGACUGCAUCUGUGUCUGAGUUUUGCUAGCUGUAUCAGUUGAAGGUAAACUAGCAAAAUGUUUUAACGUAAAUCAGCCUCUUGCUUCAAUCUUAAAACAAAACCUCCAUAUGACUUUUAAACUUGAAUAAAAUGGAAGAGG